CAGCUCCAAAUUUUGUCUCUAAUUCC
rnacentral:misc_RNA from 1 species